GACGAACGCUUGCGGCGUGCUUAACACAUGCAAGUCGAACGGAAAGGCCCUGCUUUUGUGGGGUGCUCGAGUGGCGAACGGGUGAGUAACACGUGAGUAACCUGCCCUUGACUUUGGGAUAACUUCAGGAAACUGGGGCUAAUACCGGAUAGGAGCUCCUGCUGCAUGGUGGGGGUUGGAAAGUUUCGGCGGUUGGGGAUGGACUCGCGGCUUAUCAGCUUGUUGGUGGGGUAGUGGCUUACCAAGGCUUUGACGGGUAGCCGGCCUGAGAGGGUGACCGGCCACAUUGGGACUGAGAUACGGCCCAGACUCCUACGGGAGGCAGCAGUGGGGAAUAUUGCACAAUGGGCGGAAGCCUGAUGCAGCAACGCCGCGUGCGGGAUGACGGCCUUCGGGUUGUAAACCGCUUUCGCCUGUGACGAAGCGUGAGUGACGGUAAUGGGUAAAGAAGCACCGGCUAACUACGUGCCAGCAGCCGCGGUGAUACGUAGGGUGCGAGCGUUGUCCGGAUUUAUUGGGCGUAAAGGGCUCGUAGGUGGUUGAUCGCGUCGGAAGUGUAAUCUUGGGGCUUAACCCUGAGCGUGCUUUCGAUACGGGUUGACUUGAGGAAGGUAGGGGAGAAUGGAAUUCCUGGUGGAGCGGUGGAAUGCGCAGAUAUCAGGAGGAACACCAGUGGCGAAGGCGGUUCUCUGGGCCUUUCCUGACGCUGAGGAGCGAAAGCGUGGGGAGCGAACAGGCUUAGAUACCCUGGUAGUCCACGCUGUAAACGGUGGGUACUAGGUGUGGGGUCCAUUCCACGGGUUCCGUGCCGUAGCUAACGCUUUAAGUACCCCGCCUGGGGAGUACGGCCGCAAGGCUAAAACUCAAAGGAAUUGACGGGGCCCCGCACAAGCGGCGGAGCAUGCGGAUUAAUUCGAUGCAACGCGUAGAACCUUACCUGGGUUUGACAUGGAUCGGGAGUGCUCAGAGAUGGGUGUGCCUCUUUUGGGGUCGGUUCACAGGUGGUGCAUGGCUGUCGUCAGCUCGUGUCGUGAGAUGUUGGGUUAAGUCCCGCAACGAGCGCAACCCUUGUUCACUGUCGCCAGCACGUUAUGGUGGGGACUCAGUGGAGACCGCCGGGGUCAACUCGGAGGAAGGUGGGGAUGACGUCAAGUCAUCAUGCCCCUUAUGUCCAGGGCUUCACGCAUGCUACAAUGGCUGGUACAGAGAGUGGCGAGCCUGUGAGGGUGAGCGAAUCUCGGAAAGCCGGUCUCAGUUCGGAUUGGGGUCUGCAACUCGACCUCAUGAAGUCGGAGUCGCUAGUAAUCGCAGAUUAGCAACGCUGCGGUGAAUACGUUCCCGGG
rnacentral:rRNA from 1 species